rnacentral:rRNA from 1 species
AGUGAACGCUGGCGGUAGGCCUAACACAUGCAAGUCGAACGGCAGCACAGUAAGAGCUUGCUAUUACGGGUGGCGAGUGGCGGACGGGUGAGGAAUACAUCGGAAUCUACUUUUUCGUGGGGGAUAACGAAGGGAAACUUACGCUAAUACCGCAUACGACCUACGGGUGAAAGCAGGGGAUCUUCGGACCUUGCGCGAUUGAAUGGGCCGAUGUCGGAUUAGCUAGGUGGCGGGGUAAAGGCCCACCAAGGCGACGAUCCGUAGCUGGUCUGAGAGGAUGAACAGCCACACUGGAACUGAGACACGGUCCAGACUCCUACGGGAGGCAGCAGUGGGGAAUAGUGGACGAUGUGCGCAAGCCUGAUCCAGCCAUACCGCGUGGGUGAAGAAGGCCUUCGUGUUGUAAAGCCCUUUUGUUGGGAAAGAAAAGCAGCAGGUUAAUACCCCGCUGUUCUGACGGUACCCAAAGAAUAAGCACCGGCUAACUUCGUG